AUUCUCUGGUUUCUCUUCAGCUCAUAUACAUCUUUCACCUUUUACUAAAGAUUUAUGUGGAGAGAGAUGUUUAUGUUAUUGUGACUAAUUUUUAACAAUUUAUUUACAUAUUUU
rnacentral:snRNA from 1 species